GCCUGGAGAACUGUAGAGGCCUCUACCCAGAGAUAGUUCUCUUUAAGCACAAGCCCCAAGCAAGCACACUCCCUUGACUGAGGCACACGUCCUUGCGGGGAGGUGGUGACACUAAACUGGUUCUGAGUGGGUCUUUUAGAACUCUAGAAUCGCAGGUAAAUUGUGAUUUUAAAUGGGUGAAAAUGAGCAGGUGUGUGGGGAGGGGUUUGGGGCUUGGGAGUGGGGCAGGAGAGUGUUGCUUUGUAGUCAGGCUUAGUGGAAGCUGGAAAUUUGAAUUAGUGAAGAAAAGGACAAAAAACUAAGAUGGUGGGGAACCAGCUGCUGUAGAGUAAGCAGCGGGAGUGCUGGAGUAUGCUGGAAUCUGGCUGGACAGCCCGCCCUGCCACGCCAGCCCUGCCACGGUUGUUGCUGCGUUGGGGAGGUGGGCUAUUUACAGUAUUUUCAGUCAGCGGCUGCCGCUGGACAUUUGAAGUACUGUUCACGACUGUAUUUUAAGGCCCUCCAGAGUGUGGACACUUAUUGCUAUGCUGCUGAAAGCUCUAAUCAUCAUACCGGAAGGACGCCCACUGAUGCCUUUCUUUCCUUGGAGUGGACGUAUUAGUGUGUUUGAGGCCAUGAUGUGGAAAGGCACAUUAUCUGUUGUAACCAAAUAAAGCGAAUGUAAUCAUAGUUUCCUGGAAAAAAACACAAGUGCUUUAAGGAGACCCAGACCUGUGUCAUGAGGAUCUAAUGGUGAUGGGCAUCUGCUUGACAUGGGAGACAGGCUGGGGCAGAAGAGUUAAAGUUGAGGUAUUUUGAAAACCCUCAUGGGCAGAGUGACCAAAAGAAGGGAAUAGACCUCAAGGUCCUGAAGAGUUAACAAGAACACACGUGAAACAGUACAGUGCGUGGCCACACGCCACGUGCAGAGAGGCAGGCUGGAGUCCUGCCUGAGCUUCAGGCCUAGCCCUACCUCCUCCAACAAGCCUUCACCGUUCUUUAACUCAGGCUCUUCCUCUCAAGUGGGAGCUAACGCUUGCCCGCCCUACCCACUUUGUGAGAGAUACCUGAGGAUGAGGUGGACAUGCAUUGCUCGUAAGAAGUUGUGGUGCAGUGGGAGGCGUGACUCCUCCUGCAGGGCACAGUGGGAAUGAACCAGCCGCCCACCUUUGUCCGUCACUUAACCUAAUCCUGCUGUAGACAAAUAAAGUUUGACUUGUGUGUA
rnacentral:lncRNA from 1 species